GCACUUGACUUAGUAGUCAAGGUAUUUGGCUCACAAUCAUAAGGUCAGGAUUUCAAUUCCUGGUGGUGUA
rnacentral:tRNA from 1 species